UGGUUUAGCUUGGGUCUGCAUGUUCAGACUGAUGUGGCUGAGUCUGGACUACUGACUGUUGAAAUCCCGUCUUUGACCUUGCAUGAUUUGAGUAGAAGUUGGCAGAAAUCUUGCAGGAGUAAUUUCUGCCUCAUAGAGGAUCCUGUCAGCACGGGAUGAGAUUUGCUAAGGCAGGACUCUGGUUUGGUCAUGCUGGAAUCAGCUCUGUGUUUCUACUGAAUCAAAGUCUGCAUAAAUUAAAACCAAAGCAUGGUACUUCAUUCAGAGACUUUAAAUCCAACCUGUUCAUCCUGUAUUUUCAAGAGGUUCACAACUGAGGGUUGGAUAUCAGGAAACUUUCAUUGAGGGAGUGACUCUUUAAAGAGUUGCAAAAGGUCUAGAAACCAGAGUUCUUUAUUCACAAGCCAUGCACAGUGCAGACAGCAGCAAUUGCAGCAAUCCUUUUCCCCAGGAACUGCAAACAAGCUUAACCCUGAGCUGGAAAGCCGUGCUCUGGAGAGGUGAAAGGAAAUUCAAUAUCUGAGCUGAAUGUGUUCUGACUUCCUUGGAAGACAAGAGUGCCAAUUGUACAAAGUUAUGAUGAUGAUGAUGAUGAUGUGAUGAGGACCCAAGGUUCACUGAGGCCUCCAUCAGCCAGGGACAUGCAUGGAGGACUCCAAGAUCAGCAGUCCCAUGGGGUGGGGGACAUGGGGUCGGCAGUAGGCCUGUGUUAUUCUUAUCCCUACUGCACUUGGAUGCCUUGGACAGCUUCAAGCACGGAGGGGCUGGGAUUCCCAUAUGUUGAGUGCUUGGCAGGCAGAGGGGGAAGCUCCUUCAGGAACCUCCUUGUUUUUGCUUCAGUCCUCCCUGGAGAGGAGGUGGCCUUGCUGCUGGUGUCCCCUGAAGGGGGGCAGGUUUGUGCUGUCACUGCUGCCAAG
rnacentral:lncRNA from 1 species